rnacentral:rRNA from 1 species
GCUUACGGCCAUAUCACGUUGAAAGCACCGGUUCUCGUCCGAUCACCGAAGUUAAGCAACAACGAGCCUCAUUAGUACUUAGAUGGGUGACCGCUUGGGAAACCUAGGUGCUGUAAGCA